rnacentral:rRNA from 1 species
GACGAACGCUGGCGGCGUGCUUAACACAUGCAAGUCGAGCGGAGCGGCGAACGGGUGAGUAACGCGUGAGUAACUGCCCCCUUCUCUGGGAUAACAGCUGGAAACGGCUGCCAAUACCGGAUAGUGGGGGAUGACUCGCGGCCUAUGAGCUUGUCGGUGGGGUAGUGGCCUACCAAGGCGACGACGGGUAGCCGGCCUGAGAGGGGGACCAGCCACAGUGGGCGUAGGUGCGGCCCAAACUCCUACAGGAAGCAGCAGUGGAGAAUAUUACACAACGGGGGAAACUCUAGUGCAGCAAUCCGGGAGCGGGAUGACGGCCUUCAGGUUGUAAACCGCUUUCAGUCAUGACGCGGUAGUGGCAGAAGAAGCACCGGCUAACUACGUGCCAGCAGCCGCGGUAAUAC